rnacentral:rRNA from 1 species
GGGGGGGGGGGGGGGGGGGGGGGGGGGGGGCGGGGGGGGCGGGGCGGGCGGGGGGGGGGGGCUCGGGUGGGGAGCGGGGGGGUGGCGCGUGGGUAGCCGGCGCUUGACGUCGGGCUCGCCUCAGGAGCCGAGGGCUACUCCAGGCUAGGCCUCCUCGCUGCCUUGGUGGUGUGGGCAGGCUUCGGCGGUUGUGGCUUCACUCUCGGCUUCUCAGCUUGUUGGCUGGUUAGUGCCUUACCAAGGGUUUGACGGGUAGCCGGCCUGAGAGGGAGUCCGGCAACAUUGGGACUGAGAUACGGCCCAGACUCCUACGGGAGGCAGCAGUGGGGAAUAUUGCACAAUGGGCGGAAGCCUGAUGCAGCAACGCCGCGUGCGGGAUGACGGCCGUCGGGUUGUAAACCGCUUUCAGCAGGGGCGAAGCUUGUGGUGACGGUACCUGCAGAAGAAGCAACGGCUAACUACGUG